UGAAGCAGUGAUGAUGAUUGGUCAUGUAGAAGUUUGGAUCAUGAAUAUUAUAGGUCUGAAACUCAGAGGUCCAG
ensembl:snoRNA